rnacentral:tRNA from 1 species
UGCGGGAUGGAGCAGUCUGGUAGCUCGCCGGGCUCAUAACCCGGAGGUCGUUGGUUCAAAUCCAGCUCCCGCGA